UACGUCGGGUGCGAGCGUUAAUCGGAAUUACUGGGCGUAAAGCGUGCGUCGGCGGUUCUGCCAGUCAGAUGUGACAUCCCCGGGCUUAACCUGGGAACUGCGUUUGAACCUACGGAGCUAGAGUGUGGCAGAGGGGGGUGGAAUUCCACGUGUAGCAGUGAAAUGCGUAGAUAUGUGGAGGAACACCGAUGGCGAAGGCAACCCCCUGGGCCGACACUGACGCUGAGGCACGAAAGCGUGGGGAGCAAACAGG
rnacentral:rRNA from 1 species